CCCAGCAUAGCUCACUUGGUAAAGAAUCCACCUGCAAUGUGGGAGACCUGGGUUUGAUCCCUGGGUUGGGA
rnacentral:tRNA from 1 species